UUUCCUUCCAGAACAAACAGCAGCUACGUAUUGUAGCUCUAUCCAGCUGGAGGGGGUACUCUGUGGUUUGCUCAGGCUCAGUGUGCUGGUAUUUUUCUACACCUCCCUGAGCUUUUAAUUAGAUGAGCCAAUUUUACAUGUAUUUGUCUGCUGGAAAGGUUAUCUGUGCUGGAGCUGACCUGCAGAGACAAGGUUGAGCCUAGCGGUCUUAAUAGAAAAGGUUUUCAGCUAUGACUGCCGUACUUGAUUGCAUUGUAAUGGAGGAAGAAUUCCCUCUACGUAGUUUCGUUGCCUUUUAUCUGAAGGAUACUCCACGCGACAGCACGUUUUGAGGCUUUAUUCUUACAGAGCCAUCCUAAAAAUGCGCUGGCGCUCUACAAGGAAGAUUGCAACGUUCUCAAUUCCAAGUCGGAACCAGUUGAGUGCAGCUACUUUCAUAAGAGGAAGCACGGGGGAAAAAGAAAGCAAGCAAGUAGUGUACCUCCACCAGGGAGCACGGUGGAGGCACAGGGCUUGUAGGAGACCUGUCACGAAGCUUGACUCCUUCUGCUCACACAGGGUUCCUGCUUCCCAGGCAAGGAGGAUGCUUGUGGCAGCUGACAAAGGCAUGGGGAGUGCUGGUGCUGCAAGCCAUGAAUGAGACGAAGGUAUCCCAGAAUACCCCGGACAUCGGGCCGUACUUCCUGCUGGCUGGGAAGGACAAAAGGACAAAGCUGAAGGAGUGCCGGGGUCCCACCACCAGCUCUUGGAGGCACCAGUCUGCUACCAACAGCACUCCAACCCUCGGAGAAUGCUAAUAAGCCACUGAAGAGCUCAGCUUUCCUGCCAUAAUUCUAUAGCGCCGUUGAGGACCCCAUAGUGUUCACUAAAUAAAGACAACUAAUUGAGAAUUUUUUGCACAUUUUGCUCUGUGGACUUGUUGUUCAGGCGGUUCGUUGGGGAGAAUGUCCCCCUACUGACAACAGGGGCCGAUUGUUUUGGCAGCCGCCGGGUUAGCGCGAGUUCCCGGCUCUGGGGCUGACUUUCCAAGUAUGACAAAAAUGUUUAAUUUUGGAUUUUUUUUUUUUUUAAUUAUGUGGCUGAGAAUUAUUUUGGCUUUGUGGAGAACAGGCCGUCUGGUGCUCAUAUAAAAAAAAAGAAUAUUGCUGGCAUGGAUUCUCAGAAUUAAACCUUUGGUCUUUCUCCUUCUUUAUUUCCCCUCUCUCACUCUUUUCCCCUCUUUCUCUCACUCUGUUUUUGCUGUUUUUUGGUUUGUUUUUUUGUGUUUUUUUUUUAAACUGUAUUUUCUAUGGCAAGGCCUACAUUUUUGUGUCUGCAGGUGACACUUUGAUUGAAACUAAAAUUAAUAAAUCAGCUGAAAAGCUCACACCUACAGCUCACAGCAGGGCCUUGAAAACACGGUUAUAAAGGGAGCUUUAUGCCCUUGUGUAAAGAAGGAAUAAAUUACAGAAGCACUUGUUGCCCUUGGACUCGAUUUUGCUUUGCAGCCUGGUAUCUUAUUUUUGGAGCUUAUUGUUAAUCAACAGGUUCCUUGUAGGUUUAGCAGGUGACUUUGCUAUUAAUCUCCUAUUUGACCACUAUAGCAUAUUAAUGAGGUAGGACUCUGGAUGUGGCUAUGUCUCCAGCACGAGGAAUUAGUUGAAAAGGUGCACUCUUUACUCAAUUGCCCACAGUUAACGAUGCUGCGGCCCAAAUGCAAAGUAGCAUUUUCUGCAGCUUGUGUAGCAUUAAGAGUGUUUUACUAACAUUAUGUUCCUCACUGUGCUUUUCUUCUGUUGUAUACUUAUUUCUUCUCCACGGAGGGCUAUUAUCAGGCUUACCGGUCCUUCCUUUUUGCUGUGUUUUUGGGGGCUUUCUUCAUUUUGCAUUCCCCUAACAAAAUAAUGAAAUUACAUAUAAAUGACAAAAUGAUAUCCUUGCUUAUUAAUGCGCACCUUGGUUUUAAUUAAACAAUUUUGGUGGGCUUGGAAGGACCGUUGGAUUUAAAUGAAACGCUCGGCUCAACAUUUCUCUUCAAAACUAGCUUAAUAAAUAUCAUUAUAAAGUGCCGGAAUUCAAUCAGCCCCGUUUCACCUUGUGUUUUGGGUCUGAUUUAAGCUUGAAGUGAGGAUACCUAUAGGGGUAGUUUAAGAACAUAAAGAAAAGCUGAGGAUUUAAGUCUUAAAU